CCCUUAGAUGUUCUGGGCCGCACGCGCGCUACACUGAUGCAUUCAACGAGUUUCUUCCUGGUCCGAGAGGAAUGGGUAACCUUUUGAAAGUGCAUCGUGAUAGGGAUAGACUAUUGCAAUUAUUGGUCUUCAACGAGGAAUUCCUAGUAGACGUAGUUCAUCAGACUGCAUCGAUUACGUCCCUGCCCUUUGUACGCACCGCCCGUCGCUCCUACCGAUUGAAUGCUCAGGUGAGCCAUUCGGACUUUCAUCAUGCUGGUUUCCAGUUUUGAUGAAGGAAAGUCUUGCGAACCUUAUCAUUUAGAGGAAGGAGAAGUCGUAACA
rnacentral:rRNA from 1 species